GGAGUGUACAGCUCAGGGGUAGAACGCAUGCUUAGCGUGCAUGAGGUCAUGGGUUUGAUCCCCAUACCUCCA
rnacentral:tRNA from 1 species